rnacentral:rRNA from 1 species
AGUAAAAGUCGUAACAAGGUCUCCGUUGGUGAACCAGCGGAGGGAUCAUUACCGAGUUAUCCAACUCCCAACCCCUGUGAAUUAUACCUUUAAUUGUUGCUUCGGCGGGACUUCGCGCCCGCCGGGGACCCAAACCUUCUGAAUUUUUUAAUAAGUAUCUUCUGAGUGGUUAAAAAAAAUGAAUCAAAACUUUCAACAACGGAUCUCUUGGUUCUGGCAUCGAUGAAGAACGCAGCGAAAUGCGAUAAGUAAUGUGAAUUGCAGAAUUCAGUGAAUCAUCGAAUCUUUGAACGCACAUUGCGCCCGUCAGUAUUCUGGCGGGCAUGCCUGUUCGAGCGUCAUUACGCCCCUCAAGUCCCCUGUGGACUUGGUGUUGGGGAUCGGCGAGGCUGGUUUUCCAGCACAGCCGUCCCUUAAAUUGAUUGGCGGUCUCGCCGUGGCCCUCCUCUGCGCAGUAGUAAAACACUCGCAACAGGAGCCCGGCGCGGUCCACUGCCGUAAAACCCCCCAACUUUUUAUAGUUGACCUCGAAUCAGGUAGGACUACCCGCUGAACUUAAGCAUAUCAUAAAA